CGCGGGGCUCGCGGGGGUGCCGUCGUGCGUGCUCUGGGCACGGAUCGCGGCCCGCCGCGGCCGGGGACCGACGUUGCUCGUCGCCCUCGCGG
rnacentral:tRNA from 1 species